UGAGGAAGCAGAGGCACGUCGCCUGGCUGAGGAAGCAGCCGUCUGGCUGAGG
rnacentral:snoRNA from 1 species